rnacentral:rRNA from 1 species
UACGUAGGACGCAAGCGUUAUCCGGAAUUAUUGGGCGUAAAGAGCUCGUAGGCGGUUUGUCGCGUCUGCUGUGAAAAUCCGAGGCUCAACCUCGGACCUGCAGUGGGUACGGGCAGACUAGAGUGUGGUAGGGGAGACUGGAAUUCCUGGUGUAGCGGUGGAAUGCGCAGAUAUCAGGAGGAACACCAAUGGCGAAGGCAGGUCUCUGGGCCACAACUGACGCUGAGGAGCGAAAGCGUGGGGAGCGAACAGG